CAAACUUCUCUGGUCUCUCUGUAUCUCAGUUCAAAAUUCAAAAUCCUGGGGAGAGGAAUCUGAUUGGAUCAGGCUGCUGUUGCUCCAAUCAGAUCCUGAAGGAGACCUUGUGGCUAACGCCCAGAGAGAAAAGGGGGAAAAGGUAGAAAAUAAAGUCAGAGCAGGUAGCCUGGAGCCAGAUCAUUCAGAGCCCUCGAGACAAGGUGAACAGGGGAAGCCCUUGCAGUAUUGAGAGCAAAGAAUGAUGCGAUCCAUUACAUUUUUGGCUAUGACUCCAUGAAUCAU
rnacentral:lncRNA from 1 species